UGCAACCACCUGAAGAGGAGUGCCUCCCACUCAGGUACCCAGAGCUUUUUUGGACAAAUAUAAGUGAAGAGCCCUGACUAUCACUGUCACUGUUAGGUCCAGUCAGAAAACCAAGAAGAUUGAAUUUCAUUCUGGACUUCAAUCGGUAACCGUAACGGUGACGAUGGAUCCAGCAGUGAUGUUAUUGCUAUCUUCAUCAUCCAGCACUAUGGAAGAUGCAGUAUCUGAGGUGCUCCUCUUCAAAAUGGGGCAGCUGCAGUAGAGGAGACUUGGCCUCCUGCAGUCCCUGAACCACCAUCUGAGACAGCUUCAUGCAGUUCUCUAUGGAAGUCAGCCUGGGAGCUCGAAGGCCUAUAAAAC